rnacentral:rRNA from 1 species
AUUGAACGCUGGCGGCAGGCUUAACACAUGCAAGUCGAGCGGAGAUGAGGUGCUUGCACCUUAUCUUAGCGGCGGACGAGUGAGUAAUGCUUAGGAAUCUGCCUAUUAGUGGGGGACAACAUUCCGAAAGGAAUGCUAAUACCGCAUACGUCCUACGGGAGAAAGCAGGGGAUCUUCGGACCUUGCGCUAAUAGAUGAGCCUAAGUCGGAUUAGCUAGUUGGUGGGGUAAAGGGCUACCAAGGCGACGAUCUGUAGCGGGUCUGAGAGGAUGAUCCGACACACUGGGACUGAGACACGGCCCAGACUCCUACGGGAGGCAGCAGUGGGGAAUAUUGGACAAUGGGGGGAACCCUGAUCCAGCCAUGCCGCGUGUGUGAAGAAGGCCUUAUGGUUGUAAAGCACUUUAAGCGAGGAGGAGGCUACUGAGACUAAUACUCUUGGAUAGUGGACGUUACUCGCAGAAUAAGCACCGGCUAACUCUGUGCCAGCCGCCGCGGUAAUAC